CGCGUAGGCGGUUUGGUAAGCUGGAUGUGAAAUCCCCGGGCUCAACCUGGGAACUGCAUUCAGAACUGCCAGGCUAGAGUACAGUAGAGGAUAGUGGAAUUUCCGGUGUAGCGGUGAAAUGCGUAGAGAUCGGAAGGAACAUCAGUGGCGAAGGCGGCUAUCUGGACUGAUACUGACGCUGAGGUGCGAAAGCGGUGGGGAGCAAACA
rnacentral:rRNA from 1 species